rnacentral:rRNA from 1 species
AGAGUUUGAUCAUGGCUCAGAUUGAACGCUGGCGGCAGGCCUAACACAUGCAAGUCGAGCGGCAGCGGGAAAGUAGCUUGCUACUUUUGCCGGCGAGCGGCGGACGGGUGAGUAAUGUAUGGGGAUCUGCCCGAUAGAGGGGGAUAACUACUGGAAACGGUAGCUAAUACCGCAUAAUCUCUCAGGAGCAAAGCAGGGGAACUUCGGUCCUUGCGCUAUCGGAUGAACCCAUAUGGGAUUAGCUAGUUGGUGAGGUAAUGGCUCACCAAGGCGACGAUCCCUAGCUGGUCUGAGAGGAUGACCAGCCACACUGGAACUGAGACACGGUCCAGACUCCUACGGGAGGCAGCAGUGGGGAAUAUUGCACAAUGGGCGCAAGCCUGAUGCAGCCAUGCCGCGUGUAUGAAGAAGGCCUUCGGGUUGUAAAGUACUUUCAGCGGGGAGGAAGGUGUUGUGGUUAAUAACCACAGCAAUUGACGUUACCCGCAGAAGAAGCACCGGCUACUCCGUGCCAGCAGCCGCGGUAAUUC